CGGACCUCAGAUCAGGCAAGACCACCCGCU
rnacentral:rRNA from 1 species